ACGGCCGCGCGCCCGCCGCCGCCACCGCCGCCUGAUGCUGCAGAGCCGGGCGCCGUUCCUCGGGGCCAGGCGGCUGCCGGUGCCAGCACGCGCCGCCGUGGGGAGCCCGGCUCUGGGGCCCGCCCGAGACGCUGCCACAGCCCGGGACCUCGGUUGCCUGCCUAACGCCUGAACUGCCGACUCGCCCGGGCGCCGGCGGCGGGCGGGGCGCUGUGCAGCGGCGCGCAGGGAGGCGGUGAGCGCGUGCAGAGCUGCCGGAGCCGAGGACUGGAUGUGGGUGUGCGUGUGUGUGCCCGGGCGCGCGUGUGUUUGUGCGUGUUUCUCCUCUUUCUCGUGAGGAUGGGAAUGGUUUCACAGCUGGCUGCUCCCUUAGGAUUCUUGACUUUGGGGAGCUCUGGACUGUGAGGACAGCCCACCCACAUAAUCCAUUUUGCAAGCUUGGUUGUAUCAGGGGAAAAAGCGCAACUAGACGGGGGUGGGGCAGACGGAGGAAACCUGGAAAUACACACACUCUCCAGCCAGAGGAAGAAUUGAAAGACUUGAAAAGACUUUGGUAACCUCCUGCUGGCCCUUCCCUUUUCCGGAAAGAUCCUGGAUACCUUUUCAAGUCAUCUUGGCAUCCCUCUGGUGUUUUUGUAAGCCGCUUUCCAGCUAGCUGCGUGUGUGCGCGCGCGUGUGUGUACGCGCGCGUCUAUCUGAUGCAUUUGACUGUCUUUUAUCCACUGCCCAGAAGCAAACGUGUUAACUCGGCGAUGUCCCUCCGUGCCCGGGUUCUCGAAGAGCGCGGAGGACGCCCAGACCUAUUUUCCUGGCUGGAUUUGGAAGGGCUGUUGGGCUGUGGACCCAGGUGUGUGGAUCGCUUUACCCAGAGGCUUGGAAAACACCGAUAUUAACCUGCUUCCAGGUACAUGGCAAGGUCAAGAGCGGGUCUUGCAGCUUUAUCGUUUCUGCGCAUCUAGACCCUCCUGUCUUGGCCAGAAAGAUAUUUACGUUUCAGUCCCCAGCAUUUGAAGCCAAAAGUUCAGCUCUUCUAGCUGGUUUGCGAUACAAACAAGGUAAUGAGGAUUGCUUUUCAAACUGCUUAACAAAAUCCCCGACUUUCUCAGCUCUUUUCCGGCUUCCUCCUCCCCACCAAAAUGUCAACAGCUCUUGAAUUACGUGGAUUCAGGUUGGAGGAGAACUUGAAGGAAACGUGAUUGACCGGCUAUGAGAGAAAGCUCUCUCUGCUGCCCGCGGUCUGGUGGACUUCAAAGCCAGCCGUGAGAAGAAACUGUUCCCUCCCCGUGCGGAGCUGGGUGUGCGUGUGCAAGUGUGAGUACAAGUGCGCGCGCGCCCGGGUGCGAGUGUGCGUGUGAGUGUGCGUGUCUCUGAGUGUGCGUGCGUGGCCGCCCUGCCUCUGCCCGCUCCCGGGCCCCGAGACGCGGGUUUCAUGGGGCGAUCGCCACGGAUCCCCCACCCAGCGCGACCUGCGGGCAGCGGCGGCAGUGGCAGGAGCCGCCUCUCCGACUCCCUAGGAUGCGGGUGCUGAGCUAUGGCAAAGGGCAGAGAAGUGACGAAGGAGCCCCGAGUACGACCGUGACAGCCACCUGGAGCCACCUUGCCGGGAUUGUACCUGCGGGCAGAAAGUCUUCCUACGACCGUCUUUUCCCCUAGAGACACAGAGUCCCUGUAACCAUUCAGCCAGGUGUUGAGAAGAUCCAUGGACUGAGCACCUUCCUUCGACACCGUGCUCAGUCGGAACCAGCUUUGGAGAUGCUUUCACCCUGUCCAUCUUCUGCAGCAGCCGGGCAGAGUGCUGACUCCUUCCCAGCAGUGAGGAACUCUUCAGGCUCCAGAAGCUCUUAAAUCUGAUUUACAAUGGAAAAAUUUCUUUUUUAUUUGCUUUUCAUUGGCAUAGCAGUGAAAGCUCAGAUCUGUCCAAAGCGUUGUGUCUGUCAAAUUUUGUCUCCUAAUCUUGCAACCCUUUGUGCCAAGAAAGGGCUUUUAUUUGUUCCACCAAACAUUGACAGAAGAACUGUGGAACUGCGUCUGGCAGACAAUUUUGUUACAAAUAUUAAAAGGAAAGAUUUUGCCAACAUGACCAGCUUGGUGGACCUGACUCUGUCCAGGAAUACAAUAAGUUUUAUUACACCUCAUGCGUUUGCCGACCUGCGGAAUUUGAGGGCUUUGCAUUUGAAUAGCAACAGGUUGACUAAAAUCACAAACGAUAUGUUCAGUGGUCUUUCUAAUCUCCAUCAUUUGAUAUUGAACAACAAUCAGCUGACUUUAAUUUCUUCUACAGCCUUUGAUGAUGUGUUUGCCCUUGAGGAGCUGGAUCUGUCCUAUAAUAAUCUAGAAACCAUUCCUUGGGACGCCGUGGAGAAGAUGGUUAGCCUGCACACCCUGAGUCUGGACCACAAUAUGAUCGACAACAUUCCUAAGGGGACUUUCUCCCACUUGCACAAGAUGACUCGGCUAGAUGUAACAUCCAACAAAUUGCAGAAGCUACCACCUGACCCUCUCUUUCAGCGAGCUCAGGUACUCGCCACCUCAGGAAUCAUAAGCCCAUCUACUUUUGCAUUAAGUUUCGGCGGAAACCCUUUGCAUUGCAACUGUGAGUUGUUGUGGUUGAGGCGACUGUCCAGAGAAGAUGACCUGGAGACCUGUGCUUCUCCUGCACUCUUAACUGGCCGCUACUUUUGGUCCAUUCCUGAGGAAGAGUUCUUGUGCGAGCCCCCUCUCAUUACUCGUCACACACACGAAAUGAGAGUCCUGGAGGGUCAGAGGGCGACACUGAGGUGCAAAGCCCGGGGAGACCCUGAACCUGCAAUUCACUGGAUUUCUCCCGAAGGGAAGCUGAUUUCCAAUGCAACGAGAUCUCUGGUGUAUGAUAAUGGAACCCUGGACAUUCUCAUCACCACUGUCAAGGAUACGGGUGCUUUUACCUGCAUUGCUUCCAAUCCAGCGGGGGAAGCAACCCAGACCGUGGAUCUUCAUAUAAUUAAGCUCCCCCACUUACUGAACAGUACAAACCAUAUCCACGAGCCUGAUCCUGGUUCUUCAGAUAUCUCCACUUCUACCAAGUCAGGGUCAAACGCUAGCAGCAGUAACGGUGACACGAAAAUGAGCCAGGAUAAAAUUGUGGUGGCAGAGGCAACGUCCUCAACGGCACUGCUUAAAUUCAACUUUCAAAGAAAUAUCCCCGGGAUACGUAUGUUUCAGAUCCAGUACAAUGGUACUUACGAUGACACCCUUGUUUACAGGAAGUCACGUUGGGAAGCUAUUCCAUGUCCCAAUGGUGCUGCCAUUGCUCAAAGCAGUUUUGGAAUUAUCUUAGAACCUUCAUCAUACUAUUUUGAAUAUCCUCAUUGGUGGCAAAUCUUCGUCUUUUGAGGGUGAAUUUGAAUUUUGGAAACAAGCAAAAGCCAUUUGGAGUCAAGUCUGGUGAAUAAGGAUGAUUCCUCCUACGAGCAAAACCUUUCUGGUCAACAAUCUGGCUGCUGGAACUAUGUAUGACUUGUGUGUCUUGGCCAUAUAUGACGAUGGCAUCACGUCCCUCACUGCCACGAGAGUUGUGGGCUGCAUCCAGUUUACGACGGAACAGGAUUACGUGCGGUGCCACUUCAUGCAGUCCCAGUUCUUGGGAGGCACCAUGAUUAUCAUCAUCGGUGGCAUCAUUGUAGCUUCUGUGCUGGUUUUCAUCAUCAUCCUUAUGAUUCGGUAUAAGGUUUGUAACAAUAAUGGGCAGCACAAGGUCACCAAGGUCAGCAACGUGUAUUCUCAAACUAACGGGGCUCAAAUCCAAGGCUGCAGCGUCACACUGCCCCAGUCUGUGUCCAAACAAGCCGUGGGCCCUGAUGAGAGCACCCAGUGUAAAGCGGCCAGUGACAGUGCCAUCCAAUCCUCAGAAACUUGUUUGAGUCAGGACUCCUCCUCCACUACCUCUGCUUUGCCUCCUUCUUGGACUUCAAGCGCUUCUGUGUCCCAAAAGCAGAAGAGAAAGACGAGCACAAAGCCAAGUCCCGACCCACAGAGUGAAGCGGUCACGAGUGUCGAGUCCCAAAACACUAACAGGAACAACUCGACCGCACUGCAGCUGGCCAGCCGACCUCCCGACUCCAUCCCCGAGGGGCCCACACCCAAAAGAGCACACACACAGCCAAAUGCUUUGCUGACUAAUGUUGACCAGAAUGUCCAGGAGACACAGAGACUGGAGUUAAUCUGAGGAGUGCCACUUCUUCUCUCUCUCUUGAAAAAAUUGCCACUGAUAUUUUUACUGGAUAAAAUUAAAAAAAAAAAAGUUUCAAUUCACGAAGGCUGAUUGUUGAGCUGGUGUCCUAGAAGAAAUUGGCUGCAGGAGCUGAGGCCCAAGUCUCUGAUGCUGGCGGAACUGGCUCCAUCGCACCAUGGUUCAUCCUCUUUUCAAACCAAAUUUUUUUUCUUCGGCCUACGACUAAUUUUUUUUUUUUUUUAAAGAAAGAAAAACAAAGCCUACAUUGGCAUCAAGUUCUGUAUCAACCCAUCUUACGUUGCCAUAAAUGAUUUAACAGACUGUAGAAUCUUGAAUAAUCUAUAUCACUUUAACAAAUAAAUGUUUUACUAUGAC